rnacentral:rRNA from 1 species
CGCGCUGAACUUAAGCAUAUCAAUAAGCGGAGGAAAAGAAACUAUACAAGGAUUCCCCUAGUAACGGCGAGUGAAGAGGGAAGAGCUCAAAUUUUGAAUCUGGCUUGUUUCCCGAACGAAUUGUAAUCUAGAGAAGUGUUUUCCGUGACGGACCGUGCACAAGUCUCCUGGAAUGGAGCGUCAUAGAGGGUGAGAAUCCCGUAUAUGGCAUGGACUGCCGUUGCUCUGUGAUACACUCUCGACGAGUCGAGUUGUUUGGGAAUGCAGCUCUAAAUGGGUGGUAAAUGCCAUCUAAAGCUAAAUAUUGGCGAGAGACCGAUAGCGAACAAGUACCGUGAGGGAAAGAUGAAAAGCACUUUGGAAAGAGAGUGAAACAGUUCGUGAAAUUGUUGAAAGGGAAACGCUUGAAGUCAGUCGCGCCGUUCGGGAUUCAGCCUUGCUUCUGCUCGGUUUACUUCCUGUUGGGUGGUGUCAACAUCAGUUUUGGUCGGAGGAGAAAGGCUUGGGGAAUGUGGCAGCAUUCGUGAUAUGUUAUAGCCCCUUGUUGUAUACUUCGGCGAGGACUGAGGACCGCAGCUCGGCUUCGGCCGGGGUUCGCCCACGUACGUGCUUAGGAUGUUGGCAUAAUGGCUUUAAGCGACCCGUCUUGAAACACGG